AAGAUAUUUUUGGUUUAACCUGCCCAAUGUAUUAUUGUAUGAAUGGCCGCGGUACCCUGACCGUGCUAAGGUAGCGUAAUCAGUUGGCUUUUAAAUGGAGUCAGGUAUGAAUGGGAUAACCGGGCUUAGCUGUCUCAAAGACAUUUAUUUGAAUUUACUGUUCAAGUGAAAAAGCUUGACGUAAGAAAAGGGACGAGAAGACCCUUAGAAUUUUUUUUAAAGAGGAUUAUCUCCUCUAUGAUUUUGUUGGGGCGACAGAGAAAUAAUUAAAACUUUCUUUAAAUUAAUCAGUCGGAAUUUUCAGGUUAGGAUAAAUUACCUGAGGGAUAACAGCAUAAUUUUAUAAAUAAGUUUGUGACCUCGAUGUUGGACUAGGAAGCUAAUGGGUUAGCUGCUCAUUGUGCGGAUUCUGUUCGAAUUUUAACUCCUA
rnacentral:rRNA from 1 species